ACUGAAUAGAUACCCGGGUAGUCCACGCCCUAAACGAUGGAUACUCGCUGUAGCUGGUAUUGACCCCGGCUGUAGCUUAGUUAAACGCGUUAAGUAUCCCGCCUGGGAAGUACGGUCGCAAGAUUAAAACUCAAAGGAAUUGACGGGGACCCGCACAAGCGGUGGAUUAUGUGGUUUAAUUCGAAAGCAACGCGCAAAACCUUACCUAGCCUUGACUUCCUCCUGAAUCCUAGUGGAAACAUUAGGAGUCCCUUCGGGGACGGGAGAGACAGGUGCUGCAUGGCUGUCGUCAGCUCGUGUCGUGAGAUGUUCGGUUAAGUCCGGCAACGAGCGCAACCCUUGUCUUUAGUUGCCAGCAUCCAGUUGGGCACUCUAGAGAGACUGCCGAUGUUAAAUCGGAGGAAGUGGGGAUGACGUCAAGUCCUCAUGGCCCUUACGGCUAGGGCUACACACGUAAUACAAUGGAUGUCACAAAGAGAUGCGAACUUGCAAAAGGGGCCAACCACAAAAAAGCAUCCUCAGUUCGGAUAGGGGUCUGCAACUCGACU
rnacentral:rRNA from 1 species